rnacentral:rRNA from 1 species
AGCUAUUAUCUCCCUGAAUGCACCAAUCUCAUCUGAUUGGAAAAGCUAAGCAGGGUCAGGCCUGGUUAGUACUUGGAUAGAAGACAGAUCUUCAGAAGAGACUGCUCAGAGACGACAGGCAGUUU